GUGCUCGCUUCAGUAGCACAUAUACUAACAUUGGAAUGAUACAGAGAAGAUUAGCAUGGCUCCUGCGCAAGGAUGACAUGCAAAUUCAUGAAGCAUUCCAUAAAAAA
rnacentral:snRNA from 3 species